UUAACCCACAGUGCAGUGAAGGACACAUUAGGAUUGGGAGACACAACAAACUAAAUUUGCGAUGGGGUGUCGUGUCUAUCUCUCUCUAGUUCUCUUCAUAAAUAUUCUACUAACCUGCUCAUCAAGAACAACUUGG